ensembl:lncRNA
GGCAAACUGGGACAUCCAUUAUGGUUAAUGUAGGAAGAGGGAUGAGGUGACAAACUGGGACAUCCAUUAUGGUUAAUGUAGGAAGAGGGAUGAGGUGGCAGACUGGGACAUCCAUUAUGGUUAAUGUAGGAAGAGGGAUGAGGUGGCAAACUGGGACAUCCAUUAUGGUUAAUGUAGGAAGAGGGAUGAGGUGGCAAACGGGGACAUCCAUUAUGGUUAAUGUAGGAAGAGGGAUGAGGUGGAAAACUGGGACAGGAAGUGGUCAUUUCCUGUUUAGUGAAUAAUUCCAUUUGAGGAAAAGGUGGAUAAACCAGUUAGUUAGUUAGUUAGUUAGUUAGUUCAUUCGUUCAUUUACCUUCAAGUCCACAUGGACUAGUGCAGUACACAGGGAAAAGGGUUUGAUUUGGACCAGGCCUUUAGAAUCAUUAUCUCAUGUGCAGCCAGUAGAUCCAAAAGGAAGGCAGAAACAACCAUCAUUACAUUUCACUUCACAACUUCCUGCUACUUACGAUUUAACACUGACAGCACUCAUUAAAGGUUUUGUUAGCUUAAAACUUUGAUUCACCUCUUACUCCCCCUCUCCUCUUUCUUCCAUUCUCUCUGCCUUAUCCACCCCCAGGACUGCAACUAAAGCAGAAUAACUAACGACAGAGAAUGAUAGAUGAGAGGAGUUUAGAUUAAAAUUGUAAAUGAUUGAUGGAGAGAGAGAGAGAAAGACAGAUAGAUAAAGAGAGAGACAGAAAGAUACAGAGAGAGAAAGAGAGAGACAGACAGAUACAGAGAGAGAAACAGAUACAGAGAGAGACAGACAGAUAGAGAAAGCGAGAGACAGACAGAUAGAGAAAGAGAGAGACAGACAGAUACAGAGAGAGAAACAGAUACAGAGAGAGAAACAGAUACAGAGAGAGACAGAUACAGAGAGAGACAGAAAGAUACAGAGAGAGACAGAUACAGAGAGAGAAAGAGAUACAGAGAGAGACAGAUACAGAGAGAGACAGAUACAGAGAGAGACAGAAAGAUACAGAGAGAGACAGAUACAGAGAGAGAAAGAGAUACAGAGAGAGACAGAUACAGAGAGAAACAGAUACAGAGAGAGACAGAUACAGAGAGAGAAAGAGAUACAGAGAGAGAAAGAGAUACAGAGAGAGACAGAUACAGAGAGAAACAGAUACAGAGAGAGACAGACAGAUAGAGAAAGCGAGAGAGAGAGAGAGAGAGAGACAGAUACAGAGAGAGAAGAGAGAGACAGACAGAUACAGAGAGAGAAGAGAGAGACAGAUACAGAGAGAGAAGAGAGAGACAGACAGAUACAGAGAGAGAGAGAGACAGACAGAUACAGAGAGAGAGAGAGACAGACAGAUACAGAGAGAGAAGAGAGACAGACAGAUACAGAGAGAGAGAGAGACAGACAUACAGAGAGAGAGAGAGACAGACAGAUACAGAGAGAGAAGAGAGAGACAGACAGAUACAGAGAGAGAGAGAGAGACAGACAUAUACAGAGAGAGAGAGACAGACAGAUACAGAGAGAGAAGAGAGAGACAGACAGAUACAGAGAGAGAGAGAGACAGACAUAUACAGAGAGAGAAAGAGAGAGACAGACAGAUACAGAGAGAGAAAGAGAGAGACAGACAGAUACAGAGAGAGAAAGAGAGAGACAGACAGAUAGAGAGAGAGAAAGAGAGACAGACAGAUACAGAGAGAGAAAGAGAGAGACAGACAGAUACAGAGAGAGAAAGAGAGAGACAGACAGAUAGAGAGAGAGAAAGAGAGACAGACAGAUACAGAGAGAGAAAGAGAGAGACAGACAGAUAGAGAGAGAGAAAGAGAGAGACAGACAGAUACAGAGAGAGAAAGAGAGAGACAGACAGAUAGAGAGAGAGAAAGAGAGACAGACAGAUACAGAGAGAGAAAGAGAGAGACAGACAGAUACAGAGAGAGAGAGAGAGAGAGACAGAUACAGAGAGAGAAGAGAGAGACAGACAGAUACAGAGAGAGAAAGAGAGAGACAGGCAGAUAGAGAGAGAGAGAAAGAGAGAGACAGACAGAUACAGAGAGCGAAAGAGAGAAACAGACAGAUACAGAGAGAUAAAUAGAAAUAGAGAGACACAGAGACAGAGAGAGAAAGAGAGAGACAGGCAGAUAGAGAGAGAGAAAGAGAGAGAGAGAGCUACAGAGAGAGAAAGAGAGAGACAGGCAGAUAGAGAGAGAGAAAGAGAGAGAGAGAGCUACAGAGAGAGAAAGAGAGAGACAGGCAGA